rnacentral:lncRNA from 1 species
CACACCGAGAUUUAUGUGGGAAAACUCCAACUUGGAGAAAAACCCACGGGACCAACACGCGAAAAAAUAAUUCACUAAGAGAAAAGAUUACAAGGUGAUUACCGACUCCACGGACUCAACCUCUCUUAACCUCCUAUGAAUCUUUGCGCUACCCUCCGGGUUGUCCACGCCCUCACGUUCGAGUCCACGAACGCCUUCACUUCGAAUCCACGAAGCUUCAAUCACGCCAAAUCCACGACGCCACUCGAAUCCACGAGCCAACGAUCCGAAUCCACGAACCGCCUUUGUUUACGCCGAAUCCACGACGCCGUUUAUGAACAGCAUCAUGAUUAUGGUGAUCCUUCGCUUAGGAGUAUCGUAGAAAACCAGGGAAUAGAACUCCAAGCGAAGCGGAGAUCAAAUCGACAUAUAGAGAAUGCGAAACGAUAUCUCGAUUUGAUCUAAAAGAGACUUUAUGUAGAAAAUAGGUUUAGAAUGAAAUCCAAGCCUCUAGGGUUUCUCAAACAUGUAUUCUUAUGAUCCUUGAUAUGUUAGAGAAGCCCAAUAGCUUAUUUAUAGACUUUAGAAUCAAUUGGAGUCGGAUUAGAAAGAUUUCACGAUUUUACACUGUGUACUGGUACACUUUAGGCUGUCACCGGUUACACGAUGACGGAACGAAAAACCUGACGAAACAAUGAAACCGGUUACAUCCUUGAUGGCCGUACCGGUACACAUUUUGUACCGGUGCACUUCUGAUGCUGUACCGAUACACUUUGCAAAUUUCCGCCGUUUCAGGUUUUGCAAAGUUCCGAUGCACUUUUUAAUCCGUUAGACAUUGAUAUUAUGAUUCUAAUGUCUACAACUAAGUAUGAAUCACCAUAAUCAUGAGUUAACACUUUACCUGGACAUCGUGAUUCACAGUGUGAGUUAUUUUCCAACCUCUUCGAAAUCUUGAAUUCUUCGAUCUUCGACAAUACGCACCGAUUCUUCAAGACUCUGACUCACUUUACGAAACUUGCCAACACACAAGACUUAACAAUCUCCCCCUUUGGCAAUUUCGUGACAAAACUCACACAAACUCAAAAAUUACAAUUUAAAGAAAAACGAAGUUCAAUUGUCAUCACCAAAACAUUGAACUCCUCACGUGUAAUCCAAAUACAAUUUGAAACUUAAACUUACAUCAAAACUCCUAAAACAGACUCUAUGACUUAGACGCAAUAAGGAGUCUUGAAGUCUUGAUUUCCUGCAAAACAAUUUAUCCAAAAAGAUAUAGAAAGUUAAAUUUUGAACAUUCUUACAAUUUACGCUUCUUCUCCCCCUUUGUUCUUUAUUCCUUCUUCUUCUCGAAAUAUCAUUCCUUGUCUUCCUUUGUUCACCUUUGCUUUAGAUCAAUACCUGUUCAUCAUUGUUCUCCCCCUUUUCGUCAAAAAUUGCCAAAGAUAAACAUAUAAAGAGAGAAAACAUACUAAAAGCAUAAGAGUAGUCAAAUCAUAGUUACAGGCCUAAAACAAAAGUAAAAACAUGCAAAAGAAAGAUAAGCAAGCAAAUCUAAAACAUCGUCCUAGAAAGUAAUCAUAAUAAAGUAACAAGACGAAGCUCAAGGAAGACAUCACUCCGUGUCCUCGUCAUCAUCAUCAUCAUCUCCUGCGCCAGCUCCAGAUCCCCCAGCCUCAGGAGCAUCACCAGACGGUGGAAUGAGAGGAUGUCGUGAAGUCGAUCUAGUAUACGUGGAGUAAGUAGGCUGAGUAGGGAAAAUGUCAUCAUGCCUACAGCCCAUUUUCUCCAUCAUUCUCUUCAUUCCCAUCUCCACCUUUCUUGCAAGAUCAGCCAAUUUCUUCUUCAUAGAGCGUACCUCAUGGUGAAGGGAUUCGACAGUAAUCACUCCCCCUGAGCUAGAAGAUCCCUCACGCGUUGCUCGAGGUGGAGGUACUGAACUAGAAGUUCCUCUGGAUGAUCCUUUGGUUUGUUGAAAAGUUUUCAAUGUGCUCCUUGACUUUGCCCAAGUUACAGCAUCAAUAGGUCCAAGUCCAAAGUCAUAUUUCUCACAUGACACGUCAACUUCGUGUUCUUGAAGAAUCCUCGUGAUCAACAAUGGAAACGGAAGUAGAUCACGUCAAACCUGAGACUGUAUGACAUGAACCAUUCGUUGCCACAUAAGAAAUGGAAUAUUGAUGUUCAAUCUGCCUGCUUCCUCAGGAUGUCCAAGAAGAUACAGAAGCACAAGACGAUCCCAACGAAUUCUUUUCGUUCCAAUUGUGGGUUGAACAUUGUAGCACAUUACCAAUGAGAGCAGAUGAUAUUCAGGUAGCAAAUCCUUAGAUUCCACAUAUGAAUGAUUAGUCCUAACACCUUCCUUGCAUAUAGCUUGAAUAACAGUCUCCCAGUAAGUUGAAGACUGAAAAAGCCUUGUCGUAUAGUGAAGGCCGGUAGUAUCAACAUGCAUACCUAAGAGCUCUCCAAUAGUAUAAGGAGUGACGUGAAUCUUCUGUUUACGCACAUAAGACUCAAACACAUAAGUCCCAGUCUCCUCAUCCUCUCCAAGUACUACCCCGUUCAUAUAGAACUCUCGAAUUAGUUCCACACAAAAUGGGGCACGAGCUGGAACCCGUCCAACAGGCUCAAUAGGGACCCUCUGCAGCAAUCGGCCAAAAUCUGGUACCUCCUUGACCAGCUCAGUGAAGUUGACAUAGCGCUCAGCUAGAACUGAUCGGCUCGAAUAAAUCUGCUGUCGCUCUAAUGAAGCCUCUGCAGCACGUUUGGAGCGCCUUUCACGUGCACGAGAAUCACCUCCUCGUGAGGAUUCGCCUGCUAGGCCUUUUCCUUUAGCAGCCCUCGUAACCGCUUCUUCAGUAGCUUCAGGUGAGCUUGCUUGAUAAUCUGGAUUUGAUCCUGAUGACUCGUCGGCAGUACGAGUUCGCUUUGAUUGUCCACGUCAUCCUCGACCACCACCACGGCCACGACCAGCGGCCAUAAGUACCAAAAGUAAGAUCACGAGCGAAAAUGCCAUUUUCCUACAUAAAAAUAAACCAUUCAUGAAGAAAAUUUUAAAAAAUCUGUAAAAAUAGCAGAAAAAUUUCUAAUAACAUUAGAAUGCAUACAAAUGCUAUUUCUAACAAGAUCAUGCAAAAAUUUUCAUCAAAAAAUGACAUUUUACAAAAAAAUCCCGAAAUUACAUGAAAAAAGAAGCUUAGAACAUGGAUCAGCGAAAAAUAAUGUGUUUUGAUGUGAUUCAAGUAUUCUAGAAGCAAGAUAAUGUCCUUAAGCAGUGAUCUACAGCAAAAAAUUGCAUCAAAAACGAUCAAAAACAGAGAUCUAAGCAAGAACUCGAAAUUUUUUGAAAAAUAUGUAAAAACGAGGUUUGAUCCAUAAAUCCGAGCAAACAACUUACAAAUCCACGUGAAAAGCAGUAAAUCUGAAGGAGAUUGUCGCCUAGGAGCUUCAGGAGAAGAAAGAUGCGGUAUUGAUUAAGAUUUGGGAGAGAAUCGAAACAUGUAUCCGGUUAUAUAACCCGCGGCUACAGUAAUUUGUACCGGUACGGGAUUUUGCACCGGUACACUUUUUCAGAUUUUGAAAUUUUGAAUUUAAAAACCUUUUAAACUUAAAUUAAUUUCAUAUAAAUUAAGGACUUUACUCCAAAAAUCAGUUUGAUGAAGAUAAAAUAUUAUAAGAUUUCAAAAUACAUCGAAACAUCAAAAUUUUAUUAUCGAAAAUAAUCUAAUAAUUCAGAACCAUCAAGAUGUAAGCUGAUGAAAAAUAAUUUUUAGAAAUUCAACAAAAUAGACACCAAUUUAUCGCAAUAUGUUCAAAAUAGAGAUUUAACUAAUAUAGCACCGGGGGUGGCUCUUUGAGCAUCUUUUCAACUUACCACCUUAUAACUCCGAAAAUUCUAAAAUAUUCAAUCAAUUUUUUUUUUCAACCUUUUUCGGUUAAUCAAUUCAAUCUUCAUGUGGUAGCUUCACACACUUACCGGACGACCGGGUUGGUAGCUCUUUCCUACAUGUGAUGGUAGUUUUCACACUCCUUUUGGAUGUAACUCUUUUCACAUCUUUUAAACAUAGGAGUUUCCUUUCUUUUUUUUUUAAACAAUUUCAAACUCCCCCUAAAUUAGACAAUCUCACAAUUGAAAAUAAUUUUGACAAAUUUUAGUCGAUUAGAGAAUAUCCAUUCAUCAUAUCCAACACUCACAACCAAGAUGAAUUAAUCACCAAGAGAUCAAAUUUGAUUCCAAAAUUUUGAUGAAUAUAUGCAAUAAGAAAUCAUAUAAUAAAUUAUCGUCAAAAUAAUAAAUAGUGGAGUAAAGACGAUAAUUAAUAUGAAUUUAACUUAAUAUGAUUGUAAAGUAAAACACCGUUUAAACAACUUAAAAAAAUUUUCUCUCUCCAAAAUCAUGGGUCUCAAUCAUCUCUAUUCUCGAAAAUUUUGAAUUCCUAAACACCUUUUCCUCAAAAUGAUUUUUAAAUAAACAAAAUUCAAAGCAUCAAAAAUCAUUUAAACAUGUAAUGCAAUGAAUAAGAUUAUGCAACAAGCACCAAUCAAAGCAUUACACUAAAAAUCAAAAAUGACUAAGACGAGGAGCAAGGAAAGAUAUCACCUUUCCGGAUCCAAACUUGUCGGAUCGUUGGUUUUCUCGACUUGUCGACGUUAGGUGCCGUUUGUUUAGACUUUUGAUCAACCGUUGGUGGUUUCUUCGGUUGAGACUUCGGUUGAAUUUGUCGUUGAGGCUUAUACACCCGGUUUGCAUGAACUUGGCGUUCUGCAUUAGAAAUCCGGUUCUCUCGAACUACUCGACUUACUUGAUUUUGCUUUUGAUUCCGUGGGGAAUGUCGAAUAGUAGAUGAAGCCGAUGGAUGUUUUGAAGUUGCCGAUUGUGACUUGCCAUUUUUGUUCGGGCAAUAAUUUUUGAUGUGUCCUUUGAUGCCACAUCGAUGACACACUUUGCCUUUUAAAGUUGUUGAGACUUUAGAUGCUGCCGUUUGAUCCUUCUCAACAUAUGUCCGUUCAUAUCCAAGGCCCAAUUUGUUCGUUUGACCCAAUCCAAGCAUUUUGUCCAACUUCUUUGAUCCCGAAGAAAAUUGUUGAAGAUCGGAUUGGAGUUGACGAACUUGAUCGGUCAAGACUUGAUUGGACUUGUGCGAUUCAUGAAAUUGAUGCUCCAAAAAUCCAAUCUUGUCGUUAGAAGAUUUGAUCGUUGAUUCCGCAUCAUUAAGCUUUUCAAGGAGGUCCGAAUUGUUCUUCAAAAACGAUUCCCUUUCCUCCUCGAGUCCUUUGUUUGUGAUCUUCAAGUUGUUGUUUUCCUCUUCAAGAUUUAAUAAACGACGCCUCAACUUCUUAUUAAGUUUAGCCAUCUUCUUUGAUUCAAUAAGAAGUUGAUUGUAAGCUUCCGCUAUGUCGUCGUCGUUUGAUUCCUCCUCGCUUUCGCCAUUGUCGCUCAAAGAAUCAUGCGAAGAAAGGGAAAUAUUGGAAUUAGUGGCAAUCGAGGAUAAACACACAACGUUAGACGAAGGUAGAGAAGUGUUAGUAAAUAAAGCAAUGUGAUCACUCUUUUCUUCGUCACUUGAAGAUGAUUCACUAGAAGAAGAGUCAUCCCAAGUUUUUGCUUGUAAAGCCUUUUGCUUAUAAGCCUUCUUCGAAGGACAAUCCGUUGCAAUAUGGCCGUAGCCUUUGCAUUUGUAGCAUUGGAUUUCUCCUUCAAAUUCAUCCUUUUCUCUUGAAUGCUUUGCAAGUUUCCGAUCCUUAGAUUUAGAAGAUGUAGAUGAUUUAGAAAAAGAUUGUUGCUUAGACGAUGAAGCCUUGUCCAAUUUAUUCUUCUUUCGGAAAUUCCGACGAAACUUCUUCGUUAGAAGUGCAAGUUGAUGUUCGAAGUCGGCAAGUGAAAUCUCUCCAUCGGAAUUCGAAUCCUCAUCUUCCUCCUUUGUCGACUUUAAUGCAAUCCCUGUGCUUUUAGAGAAAGACUUGGAAGAAGAUUGAUUAGUAGGAAAAGUAAUCUCAUACGUUUGUAAAGCGCCUACUAAUUCUUCGACUUUCAUCUCGUCCGGAUGCUUAACCGUUUCGAUCCGGCAACCUUUGCCCGAAAGCGUUCCGGAAGAGUUCGAAGAAUUUUCCUAAUAACCUUUGAAUCCAGGAUUUUCUCUCCCAAGUUAGCACAUGUAUUCACAACGUCUUGUAGACGUGUAUAGUACUCGGUAAAGGUCUCAUUUUCGUCCAUAGAAAUUGAAUCAAACUUGCUAGUUAGCAUUUGCAAUUUUUGGACCUUUACUAAGCUUGUUCCUUCAUGCGUAACUUGUAGAGUAUCCCAAAUUUUCUUUGUCGUUUCACAUGCCGAAACCCGAGUAAACUCUGUUUGCGAUAAAGCGUCGAAUAAAGCAUUAAUUCCUUUACCGUUAAACGAAGAUGACUCGUUUUCAUCUUUUGUCCACUUGUUCCGUGGUUUAGGAACGGUAGCGUUAUUGACAACUUCGGUAGGGUGCUCCCAACCAAAUUCAAUAGCUUUCCAAACAUGCUCAUCGAUUGCAAUUAGAAAAGCUCUCAUGCGAACUUUCCAAUAAGCAUAAUACGUGCCAUCAAAGAGUGGUGGUCGAUUAACGUUACCGCCUUCGGCCAUUAGAAAAUAAUAUAUCUAGAUCCCGCUCUGAUACCAAUUGAAAGUUUUGAGGAGCCCAAGGAUCUAUCAAGAUUGUAUCUAUCACCUAGAGGGGGGGUGAAUAGGUGAACGGCCAAAAACCACAAAUCUCGAUGCAAUAAAAAUAAAUGCGAAAAAUAAACAGCACACCGAGAUUUACGUGGGAAAACUCCAACUUGGAGAAAAACCCACGGGAUCAACACGCGAAAAAACAAUUCACUAAGAGAAAAGAUUACAAGGUGAUUACCGACUCCACGGACUCAACCUCUCUUAACCUCCUAUGAAUCUUCGCGCUACCCUCCGGGUUGUCCACGCCCUCACGUCCGAAUCCACGAACGCCUCCACUUCGAAUCCACGAAGCUUCAAUCACGCCGAAUCCACGACGCCACUCGAAUCCACGAGCCCACGAUCCGAAUCCACGAACCGCCGUCAAACACGCCGAAUCCACGACGCCGUCAUGAAGAGCAUCAUGAUUAUGGUGAUCCUUUGCUUAGGAGUAUCGUAGAAAACCAGUGAAAGAAACUCCAAGCAAAGCGGAGAUCAAAUCGACAUAUAG